rnacentral:misc_RNA from 1 species
CCCUAAUCUGCACCCCCAAACCCCAGUGAGUCUACAACCCUCCGGUUCUACUCAGUUCAAGAAAAGAAAUAAGCAGAAAUCCAAAAGGCUGAAGGAAGCUAUAGUAGAUUCUGGUGUUGAAUGGGUGUGUCCAUCUCCUGCUGAAUCGAAUCCGGUCACUGAAUCCGGCUGGCCCAGUUUCACUGCACAACCAAAAUCGCGACCCCAUUUGCCCACUGCUGAAGAAUUGGCUAGUGUUGCUGGGAACCGGGCUCAGCAACAGGCAUUGAAGGCGGUAUCGGAGUAUUUGAAGUACUCAAUUGAUGAUGAGGAGGAGGAUAUGUAUGAAGAUGAAGAUGAGGAUGAUAUGGAAGUGGACAAGGGG